AGGUCCUAAUUCCAAAUUGUUAAACUUCCCAAUCUUGAAAUGAAAACAAAGCAAAUAUCAAAAGCCAAAAAUUGAAAAAAAUCAAAGAGAGAACCUUCAAAUUUAAACCUUAAACGCUUUAGUUUGUUCAAUGAUUCAAAGAUUUGAACGGAAUGAUCGCCGGAUUUUGACAUUCCCGGCGGUUCAUCCCUGUGAGAAUAUAUCUCCGGCAACCCUUUUGGAUUCUUUAAUUACUCUGUCUCGUAACAUAUGCAAUUUCAAAUCCAAAUUCUUUGCAACUCAAAGGAAAAAUGUCCGAGAAACCAUUAGACAAGUGGGAAUCCUCUUGAUUUUUUUCGAGGAAAUCCGAGAUAAUCUUCCUAGUAUUAGAGAUUCCAUUAUUCUUUGUUUUGCAGAACUCCACACAACAUUCCAAAAGCUAAAAUUUCUAUUAGAUGAUUGUACGCGUGAAGGGGCAAGAACUUGGAUGCUUAUGAAAUCCCACUCUGUAGCGAGCCAAUUUCGAGCUUUGAUUAGAACUGUGGCUACGGCACUUGAUAUUCUUCCUUUGAAUUCUCUUAAUAUUUCUAGAGAAAUCAAGGAGUUAGUGAUAAUGGUGGCUAAUCAAGCACAGAGGGCAAAAAUGGAGCUCGACCCUGAAGAUGAAUAUGCCAUGAAAAGGGUAAUUCUAAUUGUGAACCAAUUUUGAAAACAAGUACGAGCCAGACACGUGUAUAAUCAAGAAAGUUCUGGAUUAUCUUAAGAUCACCACUUGGGCUCAGUGCCAUAAGGAGAUUAAAUUCUUGGAAGAAGAAAUUAAUUUUGAAUGCUCAGAGAAUUACGAAAGAGAAGUGCCAAUGUUAAGCAGUUUAGUAGGAUUCUUGAGCUAUUGUAGAGGAAUUCUGUUCGAGGACUCUGUUUAUGGCAACACUGAUCAAUCAGAUGGAACAUCCAAUCUUGAAACUUUGACUUGCUUGAAUCCUGAGGAUUUUCGAUGCCCGAUUUCUCUUGAACUCAUGACGGAUCCUGUAACAGUUUCCACGGGUCAAACCUAUGAUCGUGCUUCGAUUCAAAGAUGGCUCAAGUCAGGGAACCUCAUCUGUCCCAAAACAGGGGAGAUUCUACAAAGCACAGAAUUAUUACCUAAUUCGACUCUGCGGAAGCUCAUUCAACAAUUCUGCGCUGAUAAUGGAAUAUCCUUAGCUAAAUCAAGGAAGAAAAAUCGCGAUAUAUCGCGUACUAUUUUACCAGGAAGUCCAGCAGCUGCUGAAGCAAUCAAAUUCCUCUCCGAAUUUCUUGCGAGCAGACUUUAUUUUGGUUCAGAUCAGCAGAUAACAAAGGCUGCUUAUGAAAUUCGAUUGUUGGCAAAAUCAAAUAUUUUCAAUAGGUCUGUUUUAAUUGAAGCUGCAUCUAUCCCAGCACUCUUACAGAUUCUUAACACAAAUGAUCCAAUUAUGCAAGAGAACUCAAUUUCUGCUUUGCUCAAGCUAUCAAAACAUUCAAAUGGAAAGGAAGUGAUCAUGGAAAAUGGAGGCCUGAAUUUGAUUAUCCGUGUUCUUAAGGAUGGGUUAAAGGUAGAAGCUAAGCAAAUUGCAGCUGCAAUAAUUUUCUACAUAUCUUCACCUCGCGAAUACCGAAAGGCAAUCGGAGAAAAUCCAGAAGUCUUUCCUGCUUUAGUUGAACUCAUCAAAGACGGAACGAGUUGUGGAAAAAAGAACGCCAUUGUUGCGGUAUUCGGGUUACUGCUAAGUCACAGGAACCAUGAGAGAGCACUUGGAGCUGGAACAGUUCGAGCACUAGUUGAUCUUUUAGCUUCCUCGGAUAAAGUUGAACUAAACACAGAUGCACUGGCAGUUCUAGCUUCAUUAGCAGAAAAAACUGAAGGGUCAUUUGCAAUUUUAGAAGCUUCAGCAUUACCAGUAAUAUUGAGUCAAUUACAGAAUACAACAUCUCGAGCGGGGAAAGAGUACAGUGUUUCCAUUUUAUUAUAUUUAUGCAUCAACUGUGGCGCGGAGGUAUUAGCCGCUCUGGUAAGAGAGCAGGCGCUUAUGCCACUUCUUUAUUCACUUCUGACUGAAGGAACCAACCAAGCGAAGAAGCGGACACGCUCUCUUAUCAAGAUUCUACAGAAAUUUUGUGAAACAAGUACUUCUAGGUUUGUGAGUGAAGUUCCACAAGAACAAUUUAUUGAUGUAAGGUGAACGGUCGCAGGAUUUAUUUUUCUUCUCCUGCUCCGUGUAAAUAUAUCCUCAUUGUGGUAGUUAUAUAUGUGUCAAGUUUAGCUCCUCUCUUUUUUUCAGGAGCUAAAUGCAGAGUAGGUCAUUGGGUUUGGGAACUUAUACCUGAACAAAUUUGUAACACAAUUCUUUGUUGUGAUAAAUAAUGAAUUUGUUCUUGUGUGAUAACAAAA